UAGGCCCCUGCCAGCAGCCAGAGAGGCAGGAGCUCCUAGGCCAGGAUGUGAGAAGAAGCCUAACCGCAGCUCUUCUCACUUUUCUCUCUUCCAUAUAGAGAGUGGGAACAAGAAAGAGCAUGACUUCCUCUAGCCUGCUGGUGUUUGCUGACCUGAGAUGGGGCAGUCCAGAGUCCAGUGCAAGAACAGUACAUGUAUUUUAUGCUUAAAUAGUCUAUAGAUAAAACGUUUUGGGCACUGCAGGCCAAAUCCUGCACUGCUGUCUGCUGCAACAUCAUUGUAGUUUAAGAAAAUCCAGAAGAUUAACUUAAAACUGUGUUUCUCCAAGUAUCUCUACUAGGCAUGGUUUUUUGACCACUCUACCAUAUUUGUUUGGGGGAGAGGAGAGGCAGAGGGAAUUAAGUUUGAUUGCAUCUCUGGCUGUGUAUACACAUUCAUAUAACCUGGAAGAAUUUGCAACCUUUCCUCACUGCUCCCACCUCCCAGCAACACUGGGAAGCACAGCCAGCACUCCCCAGACACCCCAACCCCCAUUUAUUAACACAAGACCUUCUUUAUUUUAUUUUAUUUUUUUUGCUUCAUUUUAUUUUAUCCCUCAGUGAGUGACUUCCUUCAUUUCACCACACUUCCCCACCCCCAGUUUUUUUCCACUUGCCAUUUCAUUACCUCCCAGCAUCAUGUUCCCACCCUCCUCCUCCACUCCCCUCCCUGCAGACUAAUCUCUCGCACAUCCCUACCUACAGCAGGGAUAGAA